rfam:Triticum urartu cultivar G1812 contig555765, whole genome shotgun sequence.
GAUAUACUCCCUCCGUCCGAAAGAACUUGUCCCAAGCUUGUCCCUCAAAUGGAUGUAUGUAGCCCCAAGUUAGUGCUAGAUACAUCCAUUUGAGGGACAAGCUUGGGACAAGUUUUUUCGGACGGAGGGAGUACUAA